ensembl:lncRNA
GAAUCAACCACACUCAGUCGAUCAGCAUCCAAGUUCCAAUCGCUCGUUCCUGGGUAUCUCCCUCGUUAUCCAUGUUCCACAGGGCGCUUCUCCCCAGCUGUGGGGUCACAGCGGGGGCAGCUCCCUUAGCUCCUCAGCUCAUGGGGACCGUGUCACCUCUCGGGGCUCGGCUCAGCUCCCCAGGCCCACCGCAGCUUUCACACAGAAUGCUCCACUGUUUUCCAGUCAGCAUACACCCAGAUCUCUAAGGCCCAUUUGUUGCGUGCCCACAUUUGGAAGAAGCGGGCGUACACAUCAGUAUUUUCAAGCGCAGCAGUAAACGGGGCCCGUGCAAACUCCUGGUGAGGACGCCGCUGUGGGCGGUGGGGACUCGGGCUCGUGCCCUGUGUGGAAGCUGGCGGUCAUGCGGGUGUUGUGGGCACAGAGCAGCCAGUCCACCCAGCCCUUCAGCAGAAGCUGGGAAUCUGACUUUCUGUGUGAAGUGCCCCAAUUUAGAGAUGUUGCAAAAAGCAAAAGUAACGAGAAACGACCAAGUAAAAGAACCAGGAAUUUCGGGCCUCUGGACUAUCAGCUCAGAGAAUUGAUGCCCGAGGGCUUAGGUGGACAUGGGAAGUCCACUCGCUGGUCCACACGCCCCUGUGAGUGGGGAAGUCCACCGGUGAGUUGAACCUGUUUGGUGAGUGUGGACAUUGGAGGAGAGGGAGGGAAGAAAUUAGAUCAAAUACCAGUGUAAAUACCCCUGGGAUCAAGACUUCAGAGUUGAUGGACAACACCUGAGACCACAAAAAGUCAACCAGUGAAUUAGGACCCUGGGGUCAGCAGAUUUAAGCCACUGCAUAAAGAAGAGAAAACACCAAGGUCCUGCUAUGUAGCACAGGGGACUAUACUCAGUGUCUUGUAAUAACCUGUGUUGGAAAAGACCCUGAAAAAGACUAGGUGUUUCUGUGUUACUGAGUCGCUACUGUACACCAGACCCUGCGCCAGCUUGCAUCCCCCACUGACCGUGCAGGACGGCUCCCCGGUCUCCACACCCUCUCCCGCGUCUAUUAUUUGUAGACUGUCUCACGACGUCCAUUCUGACGAGUGGUGAUGCCUCGCUGCAGUUUUGAUUUGCGUUUCUCCCAUCGUCAUCGAUGCUGCGCAUCCCUUCGUGUGCCUCUUGGCCUCGCUACGGUCUCCAGGCUCUUUGGUGGGUUUGGAGCCGCCGGUCACCCAGUUUCCGGUCGAGGACACGGGCGUCUUCCGCUGAAGUCCAUUUCUUCCGGGAGAAGCAGGUCUGGGCAGUGUGUGGGGCCCGGGGACAUGGCUGCUGCUGACCACAGGCCGCACCUCCUCUUCAUGGUUUUGAAAAUACGUUUUUAUUUUUGGAACUGUUUGCUGUCCUUUCCUGAAAGGGAGCUUAAUGACCAGGUACCCCUCUGGCGUCCUACCCCACCCACAGGGAGAGUUUGAUUUUUGCCCAUUUCAGUUUCUCGAGCAUUUGAUGGAAACAGACAACGUCAACAGUAGGGCUUUGAGAAGCUGGAACAGCUGGAUGACGGGAGUGCGAAGUCCUCCCGUGACUCGAAACGCUGACUCACUGAGAGAGGUCUGAUCGAGCCUCAUCCGCCUCCCACUGGGUUAUUUUAUUUUAUUUUUUAUAAUUUGAUGCGUGGAGUUGAUUUGACUGAGUCAGCCUGCUGUUUUGCAGAGAGAAGACUUCAAUACAAUCCACGAAGUCGGUGCUCUGAGCACUUAGGCAGAGCUGCCCUGGCCUCCCAGCCCUGAGGCUGCGAUGCUGGGAGGGGACUGAAGACACCAGCCUCCAGGCGGCCGGGAGGCCACCGCGGGGAGCAGGGGAGGGGAAGGCAUCAUCCAGCGGGUGGAAAACUCUGAACAGAGCGUAAAGGAGGCCGAGGAGGCGGCAGGGUGAGCAGGAGGGACUGUGGUCACAGGGAGGUAAGGGCCGCGGCCGAUCGUGAGACGCACCUCUGGGCCUGAACGUGCGGAAACGGGGCCUGACAGCUCAGUCUCCAGGGAGCUUGGCAGGGCGGGCAGCUCACAGGCCAGUCUGCGGCCCCUCCUGGCCAUGUAGGUGCAGGAGGGGGACACAUGGGUGGGUGGUCUCUGCUGUCCAGGCUGGUCCCAGCGCACACUUGAGCAGAGCUGCUUUCUUCAGGCCUGGGCUCAGCCUGCAGACAGGAGCUGAGCGGUUCUCCCGGCCCAGGAGCCCCUCAGGGGCCCUGGGAUCCGGUUAGACGAGCUCAGAGCCCUGGCGCGGGAGGCUCACGGUUGUCAUCCCAGCCCCUUGAAGACGGUGUGGGGCCUCCUCUCCCCACAGGCCGGGCGGGUUAGCCUGCUGCCGCCCCCGCCCCCGCCGGGCAGUGUCUGCUCCCUCGGGAAUCUG